rnacentral:rRNA from 1 species
UCGAGGAUAUUUAGCAAUGGGCGAAAGCCUGACUAUGCGACGCCGCGUGAGGGAUGAAGGUUUUCGGAUCGUAAACCUCUUUUAGCAGGAAAGAAACCUUUCAGGGUAAUACUCUGAAAGCUGACGGUACCUGCAGAAUAAGCCACGGCUAACUCCGUGCCAGCAGCCGCGGUAAUACGGAGGUGGCAAGCGUUACUCGGAAUUAUUGGGUGUAAAGGGCAAGUAGGUGGCUUAGUAAGUGAGAGGUGAAAUACUCCGGCUCAAUCGGAGAACUGCCUUUCAUACUGCUUUGCUUGAGGAUGGUAGGGGGUAAGGGAAUUCCCGGUGUAAGGGUGAAAUCUGUAGAUAUCGGGAAGAACACCAGCGGCGAAGGCGCUUACCUGGACCAUUCCUGACACUGAAUUGCGAAAGCUAGGGGAGCAAACAG